AUUGAACGCUGGCGGCAGGCUUAACACAUGCAAGUCGAGCGGUAACAGAGAGAAGCUUGCUUCUCUGCUGACGAGCGGCGGACGGGUGAGUAAUGCCUAGGAAUCUGCCUAGUAGUGGGGGAUAACUUGCCGAAAGGUAAGCUAAUACCGCAUACGUCCUACGGGAGAAAGGAGGGGACCUUCGGGCCUUUCGCUAUUAGAUGAGCCUAGGUCGGAUUAGUUAGUUGGUGAGGUAAUGGCUCACCAAGACCGCGAUCCGUAACUGGUCUGAGAGGAUGAUCAGUCACACUGGAACUGAGACACGGUCCAGACUCCUACGGGAGGCAGCAGUGAGGAAUAUUGGACAAUGGGGGGAACCCUGAUCCAGCCAUGCCGCGUGUGUGAAGAAGGUCUUAGGAUUGUAAAGCACUUUAAGUUGGGAGGAGAGCAGUUAACUAAUAUUUGACUGUUUUGACGUUACCGACAGAAUAAGCACCGGCUAACUUCGUGCCAGCCGCCGCAGUAA
rnacentral:rRNA from 1 species